CUUGUUUACAUUUUCUUUCCAAUUAAAAGAGUGUAUUUGACAUUCCAUCCUAAACAGUGUGAUAGGAAGUCUGUGUGACACAGUGAAGAGGAAAAUUGGGGAAUUAAUAGGCCCAGUGCUCAGAAAACGAUGAAGAACCUUAGGCAGAGAGGAGUUCAGGAACUUACCCAUGUCCUGUGUCCAUGAUCCUGGUCCACUGAGGCACACUGCGUCGGACCUAGAAGUACCUGCCUGCCUACCCUGGAUAAACUGAUAGAAGGAGUUUUCCUUAUUGAGACAGGGGACCCUGCAGAAAAUCCGGGACAAAAAACAGAAGCAAAACACAUAUCGCAGAGUGUCCCCAAGGUGCUGAUGUUGCCAUCAAGAGCCGGAUGAAAUGGAAUUGCCCAGAAAGCACCUGCAGGUGCAUUGCCCAAGCAAUAGUCACAACCCUAAGUAAUAACCACCCAGAAGUUGGCAGUGGAGGCCAAUGAGGCACCUAGCAACCCAGCAGCAAAGAAACAUUAUCCAGAAGCCAGGAGAUCUACUGGGGACCCCGGCUUCCGCACAAAGCCAUAAGGUCAAAUAAGCUAUACCCUUUCCAAAUUCUACACAAUCUUAGAGAAACAACAAAAGAUAAGCUGUUUGAGGGACUGAGCACUUUUGGCUAACAGAAAUUGAACCCCACUAAAAGGGAAUAAACUUAGGUUGAAUUAGAGAUGUAAUUGUCUCCUAGUAUCCCCUAAGGGAAAGGGCUCAAGAGAAAGUUCCAAUCACAGAGGAAAAAACUCCUUUUCAUUGUACCUCUGAGUUGUGAGACGAGUUGAGUUUUUCUGUCACUACAAGCACAUUGGGAGAAAACUAGAGAAUGAAUUAAGGAACCUGUGAAUCUCAUGCUUCAUGAUUCCUUUUUUCCAACUCCUUCCCUCCAAGCCCCUUUGAGAGCAGAACUUGCAGUGCCUCAUGUCUGCUGGCCUUGGAGCAGUGUCAGUCAACGCUUCCCAGCCCAUUAACCAAACUUGAGGACAAGGGAAGUUAAGUGCCGCAGCCCACAGGGGAGCAUGUAAGUGGAUUCAGAUUCCCCAGGGAGCAUAACACCUUAAGGACUGUGCUUGCAAUGGCUGGGGAGACAAUGAGACAGGCGGGCAGUGAUUCUUCCAGAGACUAAUGAGGUUUUUCCUGGCGGAAGCACGUCUCUGCCUACACCGCACUAAUGCAGCAUUAAUGGAGAAAGGAGAGGAAAUGCGAGCAUUUUCUUCUGUGGAGGACAGAUCUUGUGUUAUGUCUUUUUGUUUCCUUGUUUUAUUGUAAGGUUUUUAACCUUUUUUAUAAGUUAAACAAAUUUUAGUAUUACAUGUUAUAUAUACCUGUAUAUUUGAAAGAGAAAUGUAAUAACAGCUUUAAUGUUUAUACCUAUAAAAUAAAUGAAAACAUUUCGAAAAACCCAAUGAAUUCCUUAACAGUUUUAAAAGUAAGAGGCUUUUGUAAAGUUUCC
rnacentral:lncRNA from 10 species